rnacentral:rRNA from 1 species
UACGUAGGGUGCAAGCGUUGUCCGGAAUUAUUGGGCGUAAAGAGCUCGUAGGCGGUUUGUCGCGUCUGCUGUGAAAACCCGAGGCUCAACCUCGGGCCUGCAGUGGGUACGGGCAGACUAGAGUGCGGUAGGGGAGACUGGAAUUCCUGGUGUAGCGGUGAAAUGCGCAGAUAUCAGGAGGAACACCGGUGGCGAAGGCGGGGUCUCUGGGCCGGUAACUGACGCUAAGGCGCGAAAGCGUGGG